AGCGAACGCUGGCGGCAGGCCUAACACAUGCAAGUCGAACGGAUCCUUCGGGAUUAGUGGCGGACGGGUGAGUAACACGUGGGAACGUGCCCUUUGGUUCGGAACAACUCAGGGAAACUUGAGCUAAUACCGGAUGUGCCCUUCGGGGGAAAGAUUUAUCGCCAUUGGAGCGGCCCGCGUCUGAUUAGCUAGUUGGUGAGGUAACGGCCCACCAAGGCGACGAUCAGUAGCUGGUCUGAGAGGAUGAUCAGCCACACUGGGACUGAGACACGGCCCAGACUCCCACGGGAGGCAGGAGUGGGGAAUCUUGCGCAAUGGGCGAAAGGCUGACGGAGCCAUGCCGCGUGAAUGAUGAAGGUCUUAGGAUUGUAAAAUUCUUCCCGCGGGGACCAUAAUGACGGUACCCGCAGAAGAAGCUCCGGCUAACUUCGUG
rnacentral:rRNA from 1 species